CAACGAUCUCUACUAUUGAAUAGGGUUUAGUUUUGAGAAUCUAAUUGUGUAGAAGUAGGGAUUUAUUCAGCUGAUAUAUAAAUGUAUAUCCUCACAUUAUCAUAUUAGGGUUUCACUCAAACCAGCCUAUUAUCAGUAAGAGUGAUAAUCUCUAUCUCUUCAAUAAGAUUAAGUCCCAUCAUGACUCUCAUUCCUUGUAUUUACUUAAUAAAGGCCCUUAAUUAAUUGCAUUAAUGUAAUUAGGACUCCAAAUAUGUUUAUACUCCUUAAGGCACCUUAAGGCACCGAGAGUCCUAGAUAUUUCAUUAACUUGUAUGCAAAGUCAACUAUUCUCUCAAUAAUUCUCGGCAUAAUUCAUUGCCAUUCACAAAAUGGUUUUACAAAAAGUACACAAUGCCAAAGUUUAAAUCAAAGUUUCCAACCAGUUCAUAGUUCCUCAUGAACUUUAUGCUAAAUGACCAGGGAAAGAGUAAGCAAAUAUGCAAUGCAAGACAGCACUUUACUUGAUAAACAAAAUUGUAGUAAAAACUAAAGAUCCAUGGUCUCAAUUCUAACUGAUUUGCUAAACUGAUAUAAUAAUAUUGAUGAAAGUACAAAACCAUAUUAUAUUAGGUUCUGACGUGAGUGAUUAGCAGGUUGUUAACGUGUAUAACGGAAAACCGAUGCUCACAUGAGACCUUGUUAGUUAUUUGCAUAGAAUCAAUCGCCAAGAAAUGCCUAAUGAUAAAAUGAGCAGCCUUUUAUACCUAGUUAGGUAAAUAACGCCUUGUUGAAUCAAUCUAUGCUAACAUCCUCAGACUAUACUAAUUAGUACUUAGAUACCGAAGCCAAGCCACAGACCAAAAAGCCGAGUCGAAUGCUUCUCUUGUUUUUGUCUCACUUUUUGUGUGGAAAAACUAGGGCCCUUGUACAAAGUUGAAUUAAAAUAGCCCUAGAAAGAAACGUUUAUCUUGGUCUCCUUUCCUCUUUGUCAAGAAACCCGUUACUAAACUUGUCUCGAGUUCGACAAGAGAAGAGAAAGAAGAGAGAUGAAAACAAGAGUUAAGAGAAGAUGCCAAUGAAAGUAACAGAGAAGGAGGAGAUGAAGAGUUAAUAAAAUAAAAUAAUUUUUAAAAUAGUUCAAUUUUCACUCGCUUUGUACAUUGUUUCCAUCUUUUGCUCGAAAAAGUCUUCAACGGAGACUGAGACAAGUCAUCUCUUACAUUAUGAUGUAGGAUCCACAAAAUUUUGUGAGUUUCACCUUGUUUUUGAAAGAGAAUAAUGUUUUUCAGUUGGUCUUUUCUCUGAGUACAACUUUGCUGCUGCAAUUCUUCUAUGUCGUCGGCAUUGCCAACAGCCUAAUUUCUGAUAUCAGGACUAGCAGACAAAAGAAAUAAAAAUAAUUGCAAGAUUAUGUUUUUCUGAUCACCCCGGCUGACUAGUCAGGAGACUGACAAGAUAUAACAUGAAAACCAAAUUUGUACGACGGAAGUGCAGACAAGUGAAAGCUAGCUUAUUAGGGUGUUCAAAAAUAUAGAAUCAGUUGGUCAAAGGGAACGAAAAUCUGUGCAAACACAAUUAGAUGCAGUAUCUUGCAUUUAUAAUUUUUUAAAAUCAGUUGUAUCUUGGACGGACCUCUAGCGAUACUGGACAAAGACAUCAAAUUCCAAAGUCAUCCUUAACGAAAAAUUAACGGGGAAGUUAUAUCAGUUGUAUGAACCACUUUGCAGUCCUCGUAUUUCAGAUCUAUGUAUUUUUAUGUGCUAGAUAGACAUGGAAAGAAUAAGCAAAAAUGCAUUAUAUUUGACAGAAACAAUUGUAGUUAAAACUAAAGCUAAAUUUAAUAAUCAAAGCACAAAUCGAUAUGUAAGUCUCCGUAUGAGUGAUUAAUACGUCAUUUUUCUUGCUUGUAUAACGAAAAGUGAUGCUUGAGUGAGACCUUUGU
rnacentral:lncRNA from 1 species